rnacentral:lncRNA from 1 species
GUCUUGUGCUAAAGAAUUGCUAAAAGAGACAGUGCCUUUUGAAUGCACCAUAUGUGUUAUUCAAAAGCAGUGGCAAGUCGAAGCUCCUAUCUUAAUCCUCGCUUGUUAUUAUGCCUGGAUCCAACUUUUGAAGGAUAAGAGAUUUCACAGAUCAUUGAUUACAAAGGCAAUAGCCAACACCAACACCCCAGACAUGAGAGGGAUGCUACCUUCGAUGCAGCCUCCCUGCCCGGCCCCAGUCAAGCCACCGAUGACUGCUACUACCUGAGCAAGCCCAGGAGUGGGACUGGUGGCUCUGUAAGAAGAGGAGGAGGCACCUGAGCUGGCACACUCAGCUCCUUCACCAUGUGAUGCCCUGCACCACCUCAAGACUGCAGAGUCCUUACCAACAAGACGGCACUCACCAAAUGCAGCCCUUAGACCCUGGACUUCUCAGUCUUUUUAACUGUAAGAAAUAAAUUCCUUUUCUUUAUAAAUUACCCCAUGUUUCAGGUACUCUGUUAUAAGCAACACAAAACAGACUAAGACAUCUUACCACAUUCAUCUAUCCAAAUAAGUUGCAAGUAUAUGGUCAGUAAGUUAUCUUAUAA